rnacentral:rRNA from 1 species
UACGGAGGGGGCUAGCGUUGUUCGGAAUUACUGGGCGUAAAGCGCACGUAGGCGGCUUUGUAAGUUAGAGGUGAAAGCCCAGGGCUUAACCCUGGAAUUGCCUUUAAGACUGCAUCGCUAGAAUCGUGGAGAGGUGAGUGGAAUUCCGAGUGUAGAGGUGAAAUUCGUAGAUAUUCGGAAGAACACCAGUGGCGAAGGCGACUUACUGGACACAUAUUGACGCUGAGGUGCGAAAGCGUGGGGAGCAAUCCGG